CCCAGCAUUUGCUCCUCUGAGCUGUAUCCCUCUGCUGCCUAGAGCAUGUGCCUGCAAUUCCCACACGGGAAGUUGUGAUAACACAACUUCUAAGCAACCCUCAGCAGCAGCACCCACCUCUUCCCAGCUGCAGCUGAUUAGGGAAUUGCUUAUUGAGCUUUCAAUAUCAGCAGGCAGCUACCACAGCCUCCCUGUGGUGGUCUCCUCUGCACCAGGGCCAGCCAGCACUCCUCAUGCCUCAGCAUAAAAUCAAACUAGUCCACAUGCAGGAAAGUUUCACAACUCCUGCCUGCUCUUGUGUCCUUAGAGACAGUUAAUACUUAUGAAGAUGGGACACUUUAAGAUGUGCCAGGAACUUAGUACUCUCUUCAAGAAGUCGACCAGCUAAUUUAUAAAGCAUGUUGUAAAAGCCCAGUGAAAAGCACAAAUAAUGGAGAGCUGUCGGCACUUGAAGAAACCUGCACCUCAUAGGAACACAGAAGCAGAUGUUGUGUUGUCUGGGGAGGAGCAACUAUCUUGCACUCUGCCUGUGUGUCCUGGGCAUACGCAGGAAAGAGGUAUGUGAUCUUGAGAAGUAUAACAAAAGAGCUGCCUAUAGGAUAAGUCUGUAGGUUGUUGCCAAUGUUUCACUCAUAGGUUUCACAGA